AGCUUUGUGCAGGGUCAUUACCUUAGCCAGUGAGGUUUAUCCAAGGUGCAGUUAUUGCUAAUUGGAAACUUUUCCCAAUUAGCCAACCAUGAAUAAGCUAAUUUGCAUAUCAGAAAUUGUAUUGACCAAUCCUGG
rnacentral:snRNA from 1 species